CGUGAGGACGGGCCGCGGGCGUGGGCUGGCGGCUCGUGCCUGCCGGAGGAACGCUUCGCCGCAGGUGAGCCAGGUUUCGAUGGCCGGCCAUGUGC
rnacentral:tRNA from 1 species